UACGGAGGAUGCAAGCGUUAUCCGGAAUUAUUGGGCGUAAAGCGUCUGUAGGUGGUCGCGUAAGUCUGUUGUUAAAGCUCAGGGCUUAACCCUGAAUCAGCAGUGGAAACUACGUAACUUGAGAACAGUAGGGGCAGAGGGAAUUCCUAGUGUAGCGGUGAAAUGCGUAGAUAUUAGGAAGAACACCGGUGGCGAAAGCGCUCUGCUGGGCUGUAUCUGACACUGAGAGACGAAAGCUAGGGGAGCGAAAGGG
rnacentral:rRNA from 1 species